rnacentral:rRNA from 1 species
UGGGGAAUUUUGGACAAUGGGCGCAAGCCUGAUCCAGCCAUGCCGCGUGCGGGAAGAAGGCCUUCGGGUUGUAAACCGCUUUUGUCAGGGAAGAAAUCUUCUGAGUUAAUACCUCGGGAGGAUGACGGUACCUGAAGAAUAAGCACCGGCUAACUACGUGCCAGCAGCCGCGGUAAUACGUAGGGUGCAAGCGUUAAUCGGAAUUACUGGGCGUAAAGCGUGCGCAGGCGGUUUUGUAAGACAGAGGUGAAAUCCCCGGGCUCAACCUGGGAACUGCCUUUGUGACUGCAAGGCUUGAGUGCGGCAGAGGGGGAUGGAAUUCCGCGUGUAGCAGUGAAAUGCGUAGAUAUGCGGAGGAACCGCGAGAGAGAAUCCCCUGGGCCUGCACUGACGCUCAUGCACGAAAGCGUGGGGAGCAAACAGGAUUAGAUACCCUGGUAGUCCACGCCCUAAACGAUGUCAACUGGUUGUUGGGAAGGUUCCUUCUCAGUAACGUAGCUAACGCGUGAAGUUGACCGCCUGGGGAGUACGGCCGCAAGGUU